GACGGAGGAUGCAAGCGUUAUCCGGAAUUAUUGGGCGUAAAGCGUCCGCAGGUGGCCUAUCAAGUCUGCUGUCAAAGACCGGGGCUUAACCCCAGAAAGGCAGUGGAAACUGAAAGGCUAGAGGAUGGUAGGGGCAGAGGGAAUUCCCAGUGUAGCGGUGAAAUGCGUAGAUAUCGGGAGGAACAUCUGUGGCGAAGGCGACACCCUGGACCAGCACUGACACUGAGGCACGAAAGCGUGGGGAGCAAACAGG
rnacentral:rRNA from 1 species